rnacentral:rRNA from 1 species
UACGUAGGGAGCAAGCGUUGUCCGGAAUCAUUGGGCGUAAAGCGCGCGUAGGUGGCCCCAUAAGUCCGCUGUGAAAGUCAAAGGCUCAACCUUUGAAAGCCGGUGGAUACUGUGGGACUAGAGUACGGAAGAGGCGAGUGGAAUUCCUGGUGUAGCGGUGGAAUGCGCAGAUAUCAGGAGGAACACCAUAGCGAAGGCAGCUCGCUGGGACGUACUGACAGCUGAGGCGCGAAAGCGUGGGGAGCGAACAGG